AGGAACACUGCAGGCCAAGCAGCAUCGUGGGAGCACAAAAGCUGAUGUUUCAGGCCUAGACCCUUCAGUUGCCCUUGAGAAGAUGUGGAGCUGCUUCUUGAACUGCUGUAGUCUAUUUGCCUUCUCACAUAUGUGUCAUCCUUGCACAUCAAAGUAUCGGUGUAGACUCCUCAGGUGCUUUACUGGAAACUUUGAUCAGGGUCACUUUUUCAAUUCAUUCGGAUAACAGAUGGUAAUACGUCUAACUCAGCUUUCCACUCCCUGGCUUCCAAAAGCUGGUAAGGAAGACUUGUCAGGAAGCUUUCAGCAUCUCCAUGACGUUUCAUCAACAGCUAAAACCCUACUACCCAGAAGACACAGAGCAAACAGAACUGUACCCAGCUCCUGAAGAAGCCUCACCAAUAUCCUGUACAACCUCAACAUGACAUCCCAACUCGUACAAUCAAAGGCCUGAGCAAUGAAGGCAAGUGUGCUAAAUGCCUUCUUAACCACCCUGUAUACUUUUGCUGCAGGUUCCAAGGAAUGAUGUGCCUGAAUACCAACGCCUCUCUGUUCCACAACACUUCUCAGAGCCCCACAAUUAAUUGUAUAAUUUCUGUCCUUAUUUGUGUUUGUACAAAAUGAAUAACCUUACAUUUACCUAAAUUAAACUCCACCUGCCAUUCCUCAACCCAUUGACCCAAUUUUGAGGUUUGAGAGAAUUGAAUGUUAGUAAUAAAACCUUUAAAAAACUCAGCCUUUGGUUUGAAUAACUAUGCCAUUCUCUAACUUAAUUAAGAACGUUACAAAA